CGGCGGACGGGUGAGUAACACGUGGGUAACCUGCCCAUAAGAUGCUGAUGCACUGGGAUAACUCCGGGAAACCGGGUAGUCGACCGGAUAACAUUUUGAACCGCAUGGUUCGAAAUUGAAAGGCGGCUUCGGCUGUCACUUAUGGAUGGACCCGCGUCGCAUUAGCUAGUUGGUGAGGAUCCGGCUCACCAAGGCAACGAUGCGUAGCCGACCUGAGAGGGUGAUCGGCCACACUGGGACUGAGACACGGCCCAGACUCCUACGGGAGGCAGCAGUAGGGAAUCUUCCGCAAUGGACGAAAGUCUGACGGAGCAACGCCGCGUGAGUGAUGAAGGCUUUCGGGUCGUAAAACUCUGUUGUUAGGUGAGUACAAGUGCUAGUUGAAUAAGCUGGCACCUUGACGGUACCUAACCAGAAAGCCACGGCUAACUACGUGCCAGCAGCCGCGGUAAUACGUAGGUGGCAAGCGUUAUCCGGAAUUAUUGGGCGUAAAGCGCGCGCAGGUGGUUUCUUAAGUCUGAUGUGAAAGCCCACGGCUCAACAUGCUAGGGUCAUUGGAAACUGGGAGACUUGAGUGCAGAAGAGGAAAGUGGAAUUCCAUGUGUAGCGGUGAAAUGCGUAGAGAUAUGGAGGAACACCAGUGGCGAAGGCGACUUUCUGGUCUGUAACUGACACUGAGGCGCGAAAGCGUGGGGAGCAAACAGGAUUAGAUACCCUGGUAGUCCACGCCGUAAACGAUGAGUGCUAAGUGUUAGAGGGUUUCCGCCCUUUAGUGCUGAAGUUAACGCAUUAAGCACUCCGCCUGGGGAGUACGGCCGCAAGGCUGAAACUCAAAGGAAUUGACGGGGGCCCGCUUAGUCGGUGGAGCAUGUGGUUUAAUUCGAAGCAACGCGAAGAACCUUACCAGGUCUUGACAUCCUCUGACAACCCUAGAGAUAGGGCUUCUCCUUCGGGAGCAGAGUGACAGGUGGUGCAUGGUUGUCGUCAGCUCGUGUCGUGAGAUGUUGGGUUAAGUCCCGCAACGAGCGCAACCCUUGAUCUUAGUUGCCAUCAUUUAGUUGGGCACUCUAAGGUGACUGCCGGUGACAAACCGGAGGAAGGUGGGCAGUCGGUCAAAUCAUCAUGCCCCUUAUGACCUGGGCUACACACGUGCUACAAUGGACGGUACAAAGAGCUGCAAGACCGCGAGGUGGAGCUAAUCUCAUAAAACCGUUCUCAGUGGAUGCUGUAGGCUGCAACUCGCCUACAUGAAGCUGGAAUCGCUAGUAAUCGCGGAUCACAUGCGCGGGGGGAUGCUUUCCCGGGCCUUGUAC
rnacentral:rRNA from 1 species